rnacentral:rRNA from 1 species
UGCCAGCCGCCGCGGUAAUACAGAGGUGGCAAGCGUUGUUCGGAAUCACUGUGGCAUAAAGGGGGUGUAGGCGGCGCGAAAAGUCAGGUGUGAAAUCCCUCGGCUCACCCGAGGAACUGCGCCUGAAACUCUCGUGCUAGAGUGUAGGAGGGGAGAGUGGAACUCCUGGUGGAGCGGUGAAAUGCGUAGAGAUCAGGAGGAACGCCGGUGGCGAAAGCGACUCUCUGGUCUGAUACUGACGCUGAGGUGCGAAAGCUAGGGGAGCAAACGGGAUUAGAUA